AGAACUUCUGUAUCCGUGCUGAGAUUUCGUCGCACACUAGACCACAAGAGCUGAUGAGACUUCCAAGAUAAGUGAAACG
rfam:Schistosoma curassoni strain Dakar, Senegal genome assembly, scaffold: SCTD_contig0006246